ensembl:lncRNA
UGCAGAGAGGGGGCUACCGACCCGCUUCACCUGCCGCAGAGGGGGCGGCGGGCGCCUCUUCACCUGCCGGAGCUGGAGCGACAGAAGCGAGGCAGAGGCGGCGGCGCGCUCGGCGGCGCCUCCGGGUCCUAGAACCGCAGGCUCCUGCUAGCUCGGAACCGGGGCCCAGGACCGAGCUGAAGACCAGAGGGAACCAUCUGCAAAUAAGAACCCCAAAGCAGAGGUGGGGGGCGCAGAUCCAGGCCAGUGGAGACCCCUGCGACCUGUUCCACUCUGGACCGACUCUGCGCCCGUGCCAGCAUCCUCAGGGCUUUUAGAAUGGAGGUGCCCAUGGAAAAAGGCAGGCAGGCAGAGUCUGGAGACCAUCAAGGCGGUCUCAAGGAGAAGCGCAGGGUUGGGGAACAGGAGGAUUAAGGCCAGCAUCCACGCUGGGAAAGAAGCAGGCACUGCGGAGAGGGGGGGUGGGAAAUCUUGACGCUGUCACCUCCAGGGAUCUAACUAAAGUGGCCUCUCACUCACCUUGGCGAAUGAGUCUCUGAAGUCUGGCAAUUACAGCAGUACUUCCAAAGGUCUUCUUUCUGUCAUCCUGACAAUGACCAGGGAAGGUAGGUAUUGAUAUCCUCAUUUUAGAGGGGGAAAUUGAGGCUCAAUGUGACUUGCCCAAGGGCCCACAGUUAAUAAAGAGCAGAAACAGGCCUCCUUUCUGUCCACCUGCAAAAUCUCCAGUGCCUUGGCCUGGCCUCCUACCGACCCUCUCAUUCAGGAUGGACCAGAGGAUAAGAGUGUUUGGAGGUGGAGGGUAGAACCCCAGGUCUGGGCACAAUCUCCAGCCUGAAUGUGAGGCUUUUCUCUUUCAGGGGUUCCUCCUUCUCCCCAUCUAAUUUGUGGGGAUCCUCAGUUGGUCCUUCCUUGCACUGUCAAGGCAUUGAGGACCGAGGACCCACUAAUGAACCCUGGCUUUUCUCUAGGCCAGGCAGGAGCCAUAUAUGUCCCCUCCCCUAUAGCUUCCUCUUCCUUCUGCCCUCCUUCUCAGAUUCAGAACCACUGAAGUUUAAGCAGGAGC